CCCCCCCCCAGCAUCAAGGCAUGCUUUGGUUACAGACUUUCAGGAGAAAGAGGCUACCAAAGCAGCAGUACUAUCUAUCAGAGCUGGAGGUGUUGGGCUAACUUUGACAGCUGCAAGCACCGUUAUUUUUGCAGAGUUGUCUUGGACUCCAGGUGAUCUGAUUCAAGCUGAAGAUUGUGCUCACAGGAUUGGCCAAGUGUCUUCAGUCAAUAUAUACUACCUGCUAGCAAAUGACACAGUUGAUGACAUCAUUUGGUAUGUUCAUUUGCAAUUUUCCUUACAAUGACUUCAUUUCUAUCUUUGUUGGAGUUUAAUGGCCGAACAAUGGUGAUGAUGAUGACCACUUAGUAACUUUG